rfam:Macaca mulatta chromosome 1, whole genome shotgun sequence.
CUGUGUCUUGCUUCAACAUUGUUUAGACGGAACAG